CCCCGGCCCAGACCUCGUGAUGUAACCUACAGCGGCGGCCGAGGUGCGGGGUCUUGGUCGGUUUCGUGCCGGCGGGAGGGCGAAGGGUGGGCGGGGCCUCGGUUCCCAAAUUUGCCCCAGAGCGCGGUUGACAGGGUGCAGCCGGGAGAGGCCGCGCUGGGACGGAGAUAUAGUGGAAACGUUCCUGGAUGUUCAGGGCGCGCCGUCCCACCGGCUGCUGGCCAGAGCCCCGGGAAGGCGAGGAUGCACCUUCUCCCCUGCCUUGGAAAGACUGCUUGAUAUCCUGAGAAAUCUGCUUUCUGAUCAAAUUGAAAUAAUCCGAUGCAACAACUGAAUUGUCAGCAGGGGCUUCUGCCCAAGCACCAGUUGGAAAUUUCAGAGUCAUUGUCAAGAUCAGCCGCUCAGACCAUCCUGUCACCUAAGAUGUGGCUGGGAAUAAUGGCCUCAAGUUGGCCACACUCCAGUCUUCAGUACCUGUGAGUAUGUUACCUUCAGUGGUAGGGACCUUGGUUAAGGACCUUGAGAUGAGGUGGUAUCCAGGUGGGCCUGCACAAUGUAGUCAAAUGAAUCCUUAAAGGGAAACCCCAGAGAAACUCUCCAGCAGUGGUGAGAGGGAGCCAGGUCUAAGGGAGAAUGGUCACUCCCUCCCCUGUCCCCACUUUGUUUUUCUUUUUCUUCACAGCACUAGGACCACCUGGCAGGCAGAAGAAUACCCCCUUUCCAAAGAGGUACACGUGCUAAUAUCUGGAAUCUAUGAAAAUGUAAUAUGGCAAAGCAGAAUGAAGGCUGCUAAUUUGCUGACCUUAAGAUGGGGAGAUCACCCUGGAUUCUCUAAAUGGGCCCAAAGUAAUCACAAGGUACUGAAAUGUGGAGAGUGAGGUGAGGUGAGGACUGGACCUGCUGUUGCUGGUUUUGAAGAUGAAAGAAAGCAGCGAUGAGCCAUGGGAUGCAAAGGCAAGGGAGCAGAUUAUUCCCUACGACAGGAGUCCCAAAUCUCCAGGCCAUGGACCAGUACCAGUCCCUUGCCUUUUAGGAACAGGGCUGCAUAGCAGGAGGCCAGUGUCAGGCAAACUAAUGAAACUUCAUCUGUAUUUACAGCGGCUCCCUGUCUCUCACAGCACUGCCUGAGCUCCACCUCCUGUCAGAAUUGCUGCUGCAUUCAAUUCUCAUAGGAGCGCAAACCUGACUGUGAACUGUGCAUGCGCAGGAUCUAGGUUGCCUCUCUUGUGAGAAUCUACUGCCUGAUGGAUGAUCUAAAGUGGUGCCGAAAUGAUGAUGCUCGCAUUGGGGCACGGAAUUGCUACACAUUGCAAACAUAUACCAAUAAAAAGAUAAACACUCCACUUCAUGGAAAAAGUGUCUCCCAUGACUGGUGCCAAGAAGUUUGGGGAUUGCUGCCCUACAGUGUCCACAAAGAUUGCUAGAAUCUGGUUGGAUGGAUAUGAUGGAGAGACCGCCCCAGGUGAUGGUUUUCUGAGGCCUAAGGAAUUCCAUAGACAGAGGUUUCGGACCAGCCACAAGGGUCCACGGAAGACAUCCCCCGGGGACUGUGGGAGCUCUGCUACCGGCCAGAGUUCACUUUCAUCCCAGCACUUUCAUCUACUGCUGUGUAGAACCGGAAGUUUAACAGGGACAUGGCAACAAAAAGGUUUUGAAUAUCUGGGUGAGAAAGAACAGCUUCUCAAGUAAAAUGCUGACUGAGGAGACUGUCCGUUCACAUUUCCAAACUUUGCAGAAGUGAAACGUCCUCUCAAAUGCUCACUUUGAAAAGGGGGACAGUACCCAGACGAGACUCUCCCCAGAUACAAUAAGUGCAAGAUGCUAUCGUGCUGAAAUUAACCUACUGGCUAGGGUGUUUCCACCAACUGGGAUUAAAGUCACAGGCAAUGGAUUCUUGAUAUUGACCAACUGGCAUCUUGGUGAGGACGUAAUCUCUGCAACAGACUUUUGCCAAGUAUUGAUUCUAGGUAUGCAAUCGUGUUUGAGAUCUUACUAGGAAUUGGCUUGCUUUCUGAAUAUGACUCUUUAGGAAACGAAAAGAAGGGUACAUCACAGCCUUGGCUGGUGAUAUUUUUAAAUUUGGAGGCCCUGAAGGGGACUGCUUUUAUUCCAGUGAGAUACAAUUUAUGUUGUAGUUGCCAAAAGAUCUCUCUGAUUCUUAGGCAUUGCAAUCAAUCCAUCCAGCCGGCAUAGAGCAAAAUAAGCAGAGAACGUGAUUUUGGGGCCUUUAAUUUCUCUGCAUUUUAACCCAUAAAAACAAGGUAAGUUUAUUUUGAAACCUAUUUUCUUUGAAUUUUAAUAUCCUAUGACUUUUACUAUAAGGGUAUUAAUUUAAUAUCUUGGACAUUAAUUUCUCCCUAGAAACUUGAUAAAAGGAGAUUUAUGUUAAAAAUUUUCCAACACAGUUGACAUUGUUAUUAACAUUUCUUUUUACCCAUUAUUAUUGAAGUCAUUGACUUGUGCCAUGUAACCUCAUUGUUGAUCCUCUAGUAUGUUAUGUGACCAACAAUAUAAGCAUAAUAAAAAUAUGCAUAAGCCUAUCUUGGAUAAGCAUAAUAAAAAUGAGUAAUAGAAAGAGGAAUGAAAUUUUAUCCCUGGAUACAGAAUGACACUGAACUGGUAAUUCAUUAUAAACAUUUAAUUCAUUAUAAGGAAUUUGGAAACGUGAGCAAAAUCUCUAUUGCCCCCUCCCCAGGGAUCCUGGGAGGACACCAGGUUGGAAGGUAGCCUGGUGAAGAUGUCCUGGCAGACAGCAGAGCUCCUCUCCUAUGGUUGUUAGCCCACCUCCUGCUGGUACAGGCUGGAUGAUCAAACACUUGGCCUAAAAGAACAAGAAUCAAGGGAAGCAGGGCAGGAUGGUACAGGCCUGAAUCUUAGGUAUUUAUUUGGGAGGCUGGGGCAGGAAGAUUGCAAGUUUGAGGCCAGCCUGGGCAACUUAGGGAAGACUCUGCCUCAAAAUUAAAUAAAGGGCUAGGAAUAUAGUUCACUGGCCAAGCACUUGCCUAGCAUGUGUGAGGCCCUGAGUUUGAUCCCCAUCACCUUCAAACAACAAAACAAUAAAUGGAGGGAUUGAAGGGAGGGCUGGGCAAGGGUGAAAAAUAAGAACCAAGAGAGAUUAUGUAAAGGUGUAAAUUUCCAACCAUGAAUGUCAUUAUAUUGUAUACCUAAAAUGUACCAAUGAUUAGAAUGAAUAAUUGAUAAUGCAAAAUAGGAAGAAAAGGUCCAAAGGCAUAGGGGUAGUGGGAGGGGCAGGGGAAAGGAAAGAAGGGAAAGGAAAGAAGGGAAAGGAAAAAUGAUGAGAAAUGGAAAAAAGGGAAAUAAAGUCUUUGUAAAUAG
ensembl:lncRNA